GACGAACGCUGGCGGCGUGCUUAACACAUGCGAGUCGAACGGUGAAGCGCCUUCCUUUUUGGUGGGUGUGGAUGAGUGGCGAACGGGUGAGUAACACGUGAGUAACCUGCCCCCUUCUUCUGGAUAACCGCAUGAAAGUGUGGCUAAUACGGGAUAUUCUGGGUCUGUCGCAUGAUGGGUCUGGGAAAGAUAUUGUUUCGGUGGGGGAUGGGCUCGCGGCCUAUCAGCUUGUUGGUGGGGUGAUGGCCUACCAAGGCGGUGACGGGUAGCCGGCCUGAGAGGGUGGACGGUCACACUGGGACUGAGACACGGCCCAGACUCCGACGGGAGGCAGCAGGGGGGAAUAUGGCACAAUGGGCGCAAGCCUGAUGCAGCGACGCCGCGUGAGGGAUGGAGGCCUGCGGGUUGUGAACCUCUUUCGCCAGUGAAGCAGGCCUGCCUCGUUUGUGGGUGGGUUGACGGUAGCUGGAUAAGAAGCGCCGGCUAACUACGUG
rnacentral:rRNA from 1 species